UUAAGCGACUAAGCGUACACGGUGGAUGCCCUGGCAGUCAGAGGCGAUGAAGGACGUGCUAAUCUGCGAUAAGCGUCGGUAAGGUGAUAUGAACCGUUAUAACCGGCGAUUUCCGAAUGGGGAAACCCAGUGUGUUUCGACACACUAUCAUUAACUGAAUCCAUAGGUUAAUGAGGCGAACCGGGGGAACUGAAACAUCUAAGUACCCCGAGGAAAAGAAAUCAACCGAGAUUCCCCCAGUAGCGGCGAGCGAACGGGGAGCAGCCCAGAGCCUGAAUCAGUGUGUGUGUUAGUGGAAGCGUCUGGAAAGGCGCGCGAUACAGGGUGACAGCCCCGUACACAAAAUGCAUGCUGUGAGCUCGAUGAGUAGGGCGGGACACGUGGUAUCCUGUCUGAAUAUGGGGGGACCAUCCUCCAAGGCUAAAUACUCCUGACUGACCGAUAGUGAACCAGUACCGUGAGGGAAAGGCGAAAAGAACCCCGGCGAGGGGAGUGAAAAAGAACCUGAAACCGUGUACGUACAAGCAGUGGGAGCACGCUUAGGCGUGUGACUGCGUACCUUUUGUAUAAUGGGUCAGCGACUUAUAUUCUGUAGCAAGGUUAACCGAAUAGGGGAGCCGAAGGGAAACCGAGUCUUAACUGGGCGUUAAGUUGCAGGGUAUAGACCCGAAACCCGGUGAUCUAGCCAUGGGCAGGUUGAAGGUUGGGUAACACUAACUGGAGGACCGAACCGACUAAUGUUGAAAAAUUAGCGGAUGACUUGUGGCUGGGGGUGAAAGGCCAAUCAAACCGGGAGAUAGCUGGUUCUCCCCGAAAGCUAUUUAGGUAGCGCCUCGUGAAUUCAUCUCCGGGGGUAGAGCACUGUUUCGGCAAGGGGGUCAUCCCGACUUACCAACCCGAUGCAAACUGCGAAUACCGGAGAAUGUUAUCACGGGAGACACACGGCGGGUGCUAACGUCCGUCGUGAAGAGGGAAACAACCCAGACCGCCAGCUAAGGUCCCAAAGUCAUGGUUAAGUGGGAAACGAUGUGGGAAGGCCCAGACAGCCAGGAUGUUGGCUUAGAAGCAGCCAUCAUUUAAAGAAAGCGUAAUAGCUCACUGGUCGAGUCGGCCUGCGCGGAAGAUGUAACGGGGCUAAACCAUGCACCGAAGCUGCGGCAGCGACGCUUAUGCGUUGUUGGGUAGGGGAGCGUUCUGUAAGCCUGUGAAGGUGUGCUGUGAGGCAUGCUGGAGGUAUCAGAAGUGCGAAUGCUGACAUAAGUAACGAUAAAGCGGGUGAAAAGCCCGCUCGCCGGAAGACCAAGGGUUCCUGUCCAACGUUAAUCGGGGCAGGGUGAGUCGACCCCUAAGGCGAGGCCGAAAGGCGUAGUCGAUGGGAAACAGGUUAAUAUUCCUGUACUUGGUGUUACUGCGAAGGGGGGACGGAGAAGGCUAUGUUGGCCGGGCGACGGUUGUCCCGGUUUAAGCGUGUAGGCUGGUUUUCCAGGCAAAUCCGGAAAAUCAAGGCUGAGGCGUGAUGACGAGGCACUACGGUGCUGAAGCAACAAAUGCCCUGCUUCCAGGAAAAGCCUCUAAGCAUCAGGUAACAUCAAAUCGUACCCCAAACCGACACAGGUGGUCAGGUAGAGAAUACCAAGGCGCUUGAGAGAACUCGGGUGAAGGAACUAGGCAAAAUGGUGCCGUAACUUCGGGAGAAGGCACGCUGAUAUGUAGGUGAGGUCCCUCGCGGAUGGAGCUGAAAUCAGUCGAAGAUACCAGCUGGCUGCAACUGUUUAUUAAAAACACAGCACUGUGCAAACACGAAAGUGGACGUAUACGGUGUGACGCCUGCCCGGUGCCGGAAGGUUAAUUGAUGGGGUUAGCGCAAGCGAAGCUCUUGAUCGAAGCCCCGGUAAACGGCGGCCGUAACUAUAACGGUCCUAAGGUAGCGAAAUUCCUUGUCGGGUAAGUUCCGACCUGCACGAAUGGCGUAAUGAUGGCCAGGCUGUCUCCACCCGAGACUCAGUGAAAUUGAACUCGCUGUGAAGAUGCAGUGUACCCGCGGCAAGACGGAAAGACCCCGUGAACCUUUACUAUAGCUUGACACUGAACAUUGAGCCUUGAUGUGUAGGAUAGGUGGGAGGCUUAGAAGUGUGGACGCCAGUCUGCAUGGAGCCGACCUUGAAAUACCACCCUUUAAUGUUUGAUGUUCUAACGUUGACCCGUAAUCCGGGUUGCGGACAGUGUCUGGUGGGUAGUUUGACUGGGGCGGUCUCCUCCUAAAGAGUAACGGAGGAGCACGAAGGUUGGCUAAUCCUGGUCGGACAUCAGGAGGUUAGUGCAAUGGCAUAAGCCAGCUUGACUGCGAGCGUGACGGCGCGAGCAGGUGCGAAAGCAGGUCAUAGUGAUCCGGUGGUUCUGAAUGGAAGGGCCAUCGCUCAACGGAUAAAAGGUACUCCGGGGAUAACAGGCUGAUACCGCCCAAGAGUUCAUAUCGACGGCGGUGUUUGGCACCUCGAUGUCGGCUCAUCACAUCCUGGGGCUGAAGUAGGUCCCAAGGGUAUGGCUGUUCGCCAUUUAAAGUGGUACGCGAGCUGGGUUUAGAACGUCGUGAGACAGUUCGGUCCCUAUCUGCCGUGGGCGCUGGAGAACUGAGGGGGGCUGCUCCUAGUACGAGAGGACCGGAGUGGACGCAUCACUGGUGUUCGGGUUGUCAUGCCAAUGGCACUGCCCGGUAGCUAAAUGCGGAAGAGAUAAGUGCUGAAAGCAUCUAAGCACGAAACUUGCCCCGAGAUGAGUUCUCCCUGACCCUUUAAGGGUCCUGAAGGAACGUUGAAGACGACGACGUUGAUAGGCCGGGUGUGUAAGCGCAGCGAUGCGUUGAGCUAACCGGUACUAAUGAACCGUGAGGCUUAACCU
rnacentral:rRNA from 1 species